UGAUCGUGUGUUGGGGAUGCUGUACUGGCUCAUUUAUUGACAGCUAGAGAUUAGCCAUCUACAGUAUAUGACACAUGAACCUGUGAAUAAGAGCCAUACCUUCAUCUCAGCUUAGUAUAACUGAGGGUAGUGCUGAUCAAAAUCUGCUUUAUCUAACCUCAGCUGUUAACGGAAAUUAGAUGUUGCUUUCCAAUAAAGUUAUGGCUUCCCUCAGGAAUGCCUCAAAUUGCAAUUGAAGUUAUUGAAAAAACAAUCUUGAUGUUGCGCUGUGAAGCUCCCGUCGAAAAAUCCAAGUCUUGGACAGCAGGCCAGCACUUCAAAGGAUCAAAUUCUUCGUGCCAUCAUGUGCGCAUGUAAUUAUAGGGCAGCUCUAGAUAAUGUAGCAGCUUUCAACACUGUCCGCUGGAUGACUGGACAUCUUCCACAUGAGUG